ensembl:lncRNA
UUUCAACAUCAAAGAACGGAAAACUCCAUCCUCAGAAGGCGUCGAGGCCUGCAGCCUAGUUAUGUCUGCUAAGAAGGCCAAUUACCGCAUCUUUUCUCCACACUCCCCGUGUUUUAGACCACCCUGCUUCUUUAUUCUUUACCUUACAGAUAUUCCAGCCCUUUGCCUUCAGGGAGCAGUAUCUGAGAUUUGGUCUCCCGCCUUCUUGCUUGGCUGCCUUGCAAAUAACUGCUCUUCCUGCUGCAAAUACCAGCAUUUUGGCCUGGCUUGCAGCAUAAGGGGUAGUACAAUCCUCCUGCCCUAAGGAGAUUGUUGGGUUCCUAGACUAUCAGCUGAGAGGCGUUGGCAGCCUCAUCAUGACGAACACCUGCCACAAAAGGAAACCGUGCAGACUAUAGAAGAGCUAAGAAGCCCAUAUCCUGAUGA